rnacentral:rRNA from 3 species
AGNCGUUCCUUUCUGGUAAGAUACCGUCACACAUUGAACAGUUACUCUCAAUGUCAUUCUUCUCUUACAACAGUGUUUUACGAGCCGAAACCCUUCAUCACACACGCGGCGUUGCUCCAUCAGGCUUUCGCCCAUUGUGGAAGAUUCCCUACUGCUGCCUCCCGUAGGAGUAGGGGGAAUCUUCCACAAUGGGCGAAAGCCUGAUGGAGCAACGCCGCGUGUGUGAUGAAGGGUUUCGGCUCGUAAAACACUGUUGUAAGAGAAGAAUGACAUUGAGAGUAACUGUUCAAUGUGUGACGGUAUCUUACCAGAAAGGAACGGCUAAAUACGUGCCAGCAGCCGCGGUAAUACA